CGUUUACCGUGAAAAAAUUAGAGUGUUCAAAGCAGGCAGAUCCAAUUUUCUGCCACCGAAUACAUUAGCAUGGGAUAAUGGAAUAGGACCCUGUCCUCCUAUUUUCAGUUGGUUUUGGCAGCGCGAGGACUAGGGUAAUGAUUAAUAGGGAUAGUUGGGGGCAUUAAUAUUUAAUUGUCAGAGGUGAAAUUCUUGGAUUUAUGAAAGAUUAACUUCUGCGAAAGCAUCUGCCAAGGAUGUUUUCAUUAAUCAAGAACGAAAGUUAGGGGAUCGAAGACGAUCAGAUACCGUCGUAGUCUUAACCAUAAACGAUGCCGACCAGCGAUUAGGAGACGUUGAAUACAAAACACCACCAUCGGUGCGGUCGUCCUUGGCGUCGGUUUCGGCCGGCGCGAGGGCGGCUUAGCCCGGUGGCACCGGUGAAUGACUCCCCUAGAG
rnacentral:rRNA from 1 species